CGUGUAGGCGGUCAGGUAAGUGGAAUGUGAAAUGCCCCGGCUCACCCGGGGACCGGCAUCCCAAACUGCCUGGCUUGAGUAUGGGAGAGGAUGGAGGAAUUCCUGGUGUAGCGGUGAAAUGCGUAGAUAUCAGGAGGAACACCGGUGGCGAAGGCGUCCAUCUGGCCCAAUACUGACGCUGAGGCGCGAAAGCUAGGGGAGCAAAACG
rnacentral:rRNA from 1 species